CCCUAGCCCCGAUUGCAGCUUUGUUUGAGCUCAUUUUUUUGGUUCCGGGGCGGCAGCGAAGCUGCCGCCCCGGAACCAAAAAAAUAGCGAGUGCGAAAAGCGGGAAAAAGA
rnacentral:misc_RNA from 1 species